GUGUCGUGAGAUGGUGGGUUAGUCCCGCAACGAGCGCAACCCGUGUCCUUAGUUUGCCCAUUCAGGUUUUCGGCUGGGCACUUAGGGAGACUGCCGGUGAUAAACCGGAGGAAGGUGGGGAUGACGUCAAGUCAUCAUGGCCCUUACGUCCCGGGCUACACACGUGCUACAAUGGCCGGUACAGUGGGCUGCGAACUCGCGAGAGUGAGCGAAUCCCAAAAAACCGGUCUCAGUUCGGAUUUGGAGUCUGCAACUCACUCCAUGAAGUCGGAUCGCUAGUAUCGCGAUCAGCAGCCGCGGUGAUA
rnacentral:rRNA from 1 species